GUGCUUGCCGGAGAUGGCAUUCCUCCGUACACAACCGCCGGUCAGCCGGCUGAUGAUGCCUACGCAUCC
rnacentral:ncRNA from 2 species